UACGUAGGGUGCGAGCGUUGUCCGGAAUUAUUGGGCGUAAAGGGCUCGUAGGCGGUCUGUCGCGUCGGGAGUGAAAACUCAGGGCUUAACCCUGAGCCUGCUUCCGAUACGGGCAGACUAGAGGUAUGCAGGGGAGAACGGAAUUCCUGGUGUAGCGGUGAAAUGCGCAGAUAUCAGGAGGAACACCGGUGGCGAAGGCGGAUCUCUGGGCCUUACCUGACGCUCAGGCGCGAAAGCCAGGGGAGCAAACGGG
rnacentral:rRNA from 1 species